rnacentral:rRNA from 2 species
GCAUUAUACCGUGAAACUGCGAAUGGCUCAUUAAAUCAGUUAUCGUUUAUUUGAUAGUACCUUACUACUUGGAUAACCGUGGUAAUUCUAGAGCUAAUACAUGCUGAAAACCCUGACUUCGGAAAGGGUGUAUUUAUUAGAUAAAAAACCAAUGCCCUUUGGGCUCUUUGGUGAUUCAUGAUAACUUAACGGAUCGCAUGGCCUUGCGCCGGCGACGGUUCAUUCAAAUUUCUGCCCUAUCAACUUUCGAUGGUAAGGUAUUGGCUUACCAUGGUUUCAACGGGUAACGGGGAAUUAGGGUUCGAUUCCGGAGAGGGAGCCUGAGAAACGGCUACCACAUCCAAGGAAGGCAGCAGGCGCGCAAAUUACCCAAUCCCGACACGGGGAGGUAGUGACAAUAAAUACUGAUACAGGGCUCUUUUGGGUCUUGUAAUCGGAAUGAGUACAAUUUAAACCUCUUAACGAGGAACAAUUGGAGGGCAAGUCUGGUGCCAGCAGCCGCGGUAAUUCCAGCUCCAAUAGCGUAUAUUAAAGUUGUUGCAGUUAAAAAGCUCGUAGUUGAAUCUUGGGCCUGGCUGGCCGGUCCGCCUCACCGCGUGUACUGGUCUGGCCGGGCCUUUCCUUCUGGAGAACCUCAUGCCCUUCAGUGGGUGUGUUGGGGAACCAGGACUUUUACUUUGAAAAAAUUAGAGUGUUCAAAGCAGGCCUUUGCUCGAAUACGUUAGCAUGGAAUAAUAGAAUAGGACGUGCGGUCCUAUUUUGUUGGUUUCUAGGACCGCCGUAAUGAUUAAUAGGGAUAGUCGGGGGCAUCAGUAUUCAAUUGUCAGAGGUGAAAUUCUUGGAUUUAUUGAAGACUAACUACUGCGAAAGCAUUUGCCAAGGAUGUUUUCAUUAAUCAGUGAACGAAAGUUAGGGGAUCGAAGACGAUCAGAUACCGUCGUAGUCUUAACCGUAAACUAUGCCGACUAGGGAUCGGGCGAUGUUUCUAUCUUGACUCGCUCGGCACCUUACGAGAAAUCAAAGUUUUUGGU